rnacentral:rRNA from 1 species
UACGUAGGGUGCAAGCGUUAAUCGGAAUUACUGGGCGUAAAGCGUGCGCAGGCGGUUUGUAAGUUUGUCGUGAAAUCCCCGGGCUCAACCUGGGAAUGGGCGAUGAAGACUGCAAGGCUAGAAUCUGGCAGAGGGGGGUAGAAUUCCACGUGUAGCAGUGAAAUGCGUAGAGAUGUGGAGGAACACCGAUGGCGAAGGCAGCCCCCUGGGUCAAGACUGACGCUACAUG